rnacentral:lncRNA from 1 species
AAAUCAAACAGUUGAUUAUUGUGCGAGUAAUACCAUAGAAAUCAGUAGAAUCUGUCCUGUGUUCAACAGGAACACAAACUUCUGUUGUUCUGCUUGUUUUCAGAUGUAAAAUGACAGCUCUGCAAAGAAGACCGUUUUGAAGAGGGUGUUGACGAACACUUCAACUAUGAAUGAGAGCAAAGAGAGUAGCUCUCAGAAUGAUAUACACCACGGUCCAAAGUUGGAAAUCCCCCACCUUACCCAGGAGCACCCAGCAGCACUGACACGUACCAGAGGUCUGAAGCAGUACCUCUGCAGAAUGAAGCAUCCUACUGACGCUUUGGCUGGACCAUAUCUUUUUUAAAAGUUAAGAUGCUUUCCUGGAUUUUUGCACACAGACCCAGCAGUGCUGUCUGAUAGUAAGGACUGCUAGGAGCUGAGGAUUAGUAAGAGAUAUGUAAUAAUGUCAAUUAAAAACAGUAUUUUGGAUGGAUUACUAGAAUCAGUCUAGUAUCAGUAAUCCCAAGUUAACUUUCAAAGACAUUUUUUAAUUUGGAUCUGUGUACAGUCCACUUAGAAGCAGCAAAAUAAUUCACAUUUGAUCUCAUCUAGUUAAAAUUCUAGUUGGAUUUUCUUCCACAAGCAAUGGAUUAAACUGGAUUUCCUCUCAAUCACUUAGCAUGGAGAUCUAGUAUGAUAAAUUGCCCUUGAAAAUAAAACUGCAAGUCUCUUAUUAAUGGUAAAAAAGAACAGAUGCAGAGCGUGACUCUUUCUUAGCUGAAAAGGCACAGCAUUCAGUAGAUGAAAACCAAGAUUAUUAGAGGAGAAAGUUGAAUCGAUAAGUCUCAAGAUGCAGAAUGUGCACUGUUGUGGUGGAAGUUCUCUCCUCUUUCCCACUCGGAAGACCCAGAAGUUGGCACAGUGUUUCAGCUAGGUCACACACCGAGGUCAUUUGGAGACCUAUUGCUGUUGACAUCUGAAAAAUACUUGUUCCAUAUAAUAAGUAAGUAUAACUCCUCCCACUAAUGACUAGUACAUUGAUGACGAGCAGCACAAUUACAAUGAAGAAAAUGAUAUUUGGAAGCAGUAUCAAACAGUACUUAACCACAAUGAAGCUAAACAUGGGGUGGUUCUCAGAUAACCUGGGGAGACUUCAGAGUUAAAUAGAAACAAGACCAAAUCUAAACGAAGCAAUAAUGAGCUGGAAAAGGUGCUUCAUUAGAAAAGA